CCUGCUGUUCUUGGCGAGGACCGGUGUGUGGUCUCGCUUCCUCCUGGGUGAGGCAGAGAGAGGCAGAGGGAGAGGGCCCGGCCAGUGUCAUGCCUGGUGCCAGUGGCUUCCUGUCGACCUCUUCUAUCCCCAAGGGCCAGGACAGAG
rfam:Tupaia chinensis contig38904, whole genome shotgun sequence.